rnacentral:rRNA from 1 species
AACUAGGAUUCCCUUAGUAACGGCGAGUGAACCGGGAUGAGCUCAAAUUUGAAAUCUGGCGUCUUUCAGGCGUCCGAGUUGUAAUCUAUAGAGGCGUUUUCCGCGCCGGACCGCGUCCAAGUCUCUUGGAAUAGAGUAUCAAAGAGGGUGACAAUCCCGUACUUGACGCGACAACCGGUGCUCUGUGAUACGUUCUCAAUGAGUCGAGUUGUUUGGGAAUGCAGCUCUAAAUGGGUGGUAAAUUCCAUCUAAGGCUAAAUAUUGGCGAGAGACCGAUAGCGAACAAGUACCGUGAGGGAAAGAUGAAAAGCACUUUGGAAAGAGAGUUAAACAGCACGUGAAAUUGUUAAAAGGGAAACGAUUGAAGUCAGUCGUGUGGGAAGUAUUCAGCCGUCUCUGGCGGUGUAUUUGCUUCUCACGGGUCAACAUCAGUUUGAUCCGGUAGAAAAAGGCGGGAAGAAGGUGGCACCCUCGGGUGUGUUAUAGCUUCCUGUCAUAUGUGCCGGACCAGACUGAGGAACGCAGCUUGCAGCAAUGCCGGGGUUCGCCCACGUACAAGCUUAGGAUAUUGACAUAAUGGCUUUAAA